GUUUCCGCUUUUGCGUCUUCUUUCUCUCUUCGCCUGCUGCCGUCCAUGUAAGAUGGGACUUGCUCCUCCUUGCCUUCCACCAUGAUUGUGAGGCUUCCUCAGCCACGUGGAACUAUCCAUAAUGGAUUCCUGGGACAUUUUCAGAUCUCCUUCCAGCUUCCUCUUCGCCCUUUCCAAGUCCGCCCGCAGUUUCUUCUCCUGCUCUAAGGAACCCUCAAGCUGAGAAGACACACAGAUGGAGUCUCGCUGCGAUGCCCAGGCUGGAGUGCAAUGGUGCAAUCUCGGCUCACUGCAACCUUCGUUUCCCGGGUUUAAGCAAUUCUCCUGCCUCAGCCUCCCAAGUAUCUGGGACUACAGGCGAGCGUCACCAUGCCUGGCUAAUUUUUGUAUUUUUAGUAGAGAUGGGUUUCACCAUAUUGGCCAGGCUGGUCUUGAACUCCUGACUUCAAGUGAUCCGCCCACCUUGGCCUCUCAAAGUGCUGGGAUUACAGGCGUGAGCCACCGUGCCUGGCAAUGUUUGUAGUUUCUUUCAUGAA